UACGUAGGGUGCAAGCGUUAAUCGGAAUUACUGGGCGUAAAGCGUGCGCAGGCGGUUAUAUAAGACAGUUGUGAAAUCCCCGGGCUCAACCUGGGAACUGCAUCUGUGACUGUAUAGCUAGAGUACGGUAGAGGGGGAUGGAAUUCCGCGUGUAGCAGUGAAAUACGUAGAUAUGCGGAGGAACACCGAUGGCGAAGGCAGCCCCCCUGGGUCAAGAUUGACGCUCAUGCACGAAAGCGUGGGGAGCAAACAGG
rnacentral:rRNA from 1 species